rnacentral:rRNA from 1 species
GAUGAACGCUGGCGGCGUGCCUAAUACAUGCGAGUCGAGCGAACAGACGAGGAGCUUGCUCCUCUGACGUUAGCGGCGGACGGGUGAGUAACACGUGGAUAACCUACCUAUAAGACUGGGAUAACUUCGGGAAACCGGAGCUAAUACCGGAUAAUAUAUUGAACCGCAUGGUUCAAUAGUGAAAGACGGUUUUGCUGUCACUUAUAGAUGGAUCCGCGCCGCAUUAGCUAGUUGGUAAGGUAACGGCUUACCAAGGCAACGAUGCGUAGCCGACCUGGGAGGGUGAUCGGCCACACUGGAACUGAGACACGGUCCAGACUCCUACGGGAGGCAGCAGUAGGGAAUCUUCCGCAAUGGGCGAAAGCCUGACGGAGCAACGCCGCGUGAGUGAUGAAGGUCUUCGGAUCGUAAAACUCUGUUAUUAGGGAAGAACAAAUGUGUAAGUAACUAUGCACGUCUUGACGGUACCUGAUCAGAAAGCCACGGCUAACUACGUG